rnacentral:lncRNA from 1 species
UAACAUGUUGAGAGAGGCUACUAUGCUUCUAGAAGCACGGAGCCUCUCGUACUUUCAGGUCGUUUUUGAUGUUGCGACUUUCGAAUCGUCAAUCGGCUCCGUUAAACUUGAUCUAGAGUAUUUGAAGUACCUAAAAAAUAAAUUUUGAUAUUUUUUAAUAUCAUUUGCCUAGUGAACUAAGGAGCUCAAAAUCAACAGCUGAAAAUAAAAAUCUUACAAAACGUGAUAAUAUGACAUUAAAAUUUUAGAUCAAAUAUAUUGAUCUUGUUUUAUAUUGCAUAAAAAUUUUUCUAUCAAAAUUUUACGUGAUUUGGAUAUUUCUACACCGUUAAACUUGCAAACGGCUUACCACGGCCAUUAAAAUGAUUGAUUUUGAGUCCCUUCGAUCACUAGGCAAAUGAUAUCGAAAAAUCAUAAAAUUUAUUUUCUAAGUACUUCAAAUACUCUAGAUCAAGUUUAACAGAGCCGAUCGACGAUUCGAAAGUUGCAACAUCGAAAACGAUCUGGAAGUACGGAAGGCUCCGUGAUCAAGUUUAACGGAGCCGAUAGACGAUUCGAAAGUCGCAACAUCGAAAACGAUCUGGAAGUACGGAAGGCUCUGUGCUUCCAGAAGCAUAGUAGCCUCACUCUAACAUGUUUCAUAU